GCUUGCACAGGUGCUGCAUGGCUGUCGUCAGCUCGUGUCGUGAGAUGUUCGUUAAGUCCGCUAACGAACGCAACCCUCGCUGUGUGUUAUAUGUGUCACACGGGACUGCCGGUCUUAAGCCGGAGGAAGGUGGGGAUGAUGUCAAGUCAGCAUGGCCUUUAUAUCCUGGGCUACACACACGCUACAAUGGCCAACACAAUAGGUUGCUAAGCCGCGAGGUGGCGCCAAUCCAUAAAGUUGGUCUCAGUUCAGAUUGUAGGCUGCAACCCGCCUGCAUGAAGAUGGAGUUGCUAGUAACCGCAGGUCAGCUAUACUGCGGUGAAUACGUUCCCGGGGCUU
rnacentral:rRNA from 1 species